AUUCGCGUGAGACCACUGUCUCCGAGAAACGACAGACAAACAUUCAUGUUCCAUUUGUGAUUCAGUAACGGAUGAUAAUAAUGAUAUCAAUCAAAUUAACCCACUACUUAUCUUCAAUUCCGCUUCUCUGCCUUCUUCAUCACCAUUAUUCAAUGUAUAUACAGAUCCAGAGAGACCUCCUUUCAUAUUUCUGUUUCACACUUUUCAUAAGCUAACAGACGGUUAGGAAUGGCGACUUCAUAGGUUUUUCUCACUGUAUUGAAAGCAUAUCGGAGCAGGCAUACUGUGGUGACAAGGCUCAUGCAUUUUUGGGAGGCAUAGAAUGUGAAGAAAGGUGGGGCGCUUAUGGGUGUCAAUUAUUAGUUGAUGAGAAGUCUGAACACCUUCUGAGAAGGCUCGAACUCCUCAAAUAAUGAGCGCUUUAUGAGCGCAGACAUAAUCGUGAAAGGAAGUAUCAUCAGCAGACCACAGCGUACAAGCUCAACGCUCUAUCUCAAGAAUGGAGACAGCUCUGUGUGAAGAAUAUGAAUAUCCAGUCUGCGUGUACUGUUCUUGAGACACGAAUCGAUUCGUUGAAAAGGGAAGCUGCUGAAAGGGGAUGAAACUUAGAAGAGAAAAUAGAGAGUGCCUAACCACUUCAAUUGCAGUGAGGCAACCCCCGAGCAAUCCAUCUACCAUGUCUCCGCUAAAAUUUUGAAUGUUUUGUUUUUAAAAUAUUAUUUAUAGUAUAAGAGAAUGAUUUUAUCAUAAAGAUACUACAGUAUUAGGUGAAUGCGUGUCUCUCUUUAUGUAAUAACAUUUUAGAUCUUUUAACACUGUAGCAAUCAAAACUUCACACUGUUGGAGGCACCAGUUUGUAUUAGGUUCAUCGAGCAAAGUUUUAUUUAGACAGCAGCAAUGGCCUGCCACAUUCCACGGAGAUGUCCUGUUCCGUAAUUAUGACAGCUGAUGCUACCGGCUAACGCUAACACAUAAUUACCAGGUAAAGUUAGGAGCAUAAAGAAAACUUUGAACGACUAAACACAGAGCACGCAACGUGUAAUGGUUUAGAGGGAAACAACCACGUGUCUGAGUGUUUUUGAUGUCCUAACCAACCUACUCAAUAACAAAUUAGCUGCCUCUGGUGUGGAGCCAAAGGUUGGGUUUUUUCUUUUCACUCUCAAGUCGCCUUUUUCUCAAUGCUACUUUUGGGGCACACUUUUACUUCGACAACUGUGUCACUAGCCAGCGUCAGUUUGUUCUUAAAGAAAAUUACCAACGUCAUUUGCUCCAAUUUUUGUUCUACCCCGCUAAUUAACCAAUUAUUUUUUCCUGCAGAACUCCCACAAAAUAUGGGGGCAUUCAUAAGCCACCGUCUGGUACCGUCUAAGUGUUUAAUGCACAUGUCUUGCAUUCUGAGCCACAUGUACAUAUUCUAGACUCACCCAACUUCCAUACAGUUUUCAAAAUUAGAGCAUUACGUACUGUCAUUUUACACCUCCACUGUCAAUCGAGUUAUUCUACACCAAUACGUGAUACUCUUACCACUGCAUCGCAGGUGAUCAUCAAUUACUGUACAUGUUAUUAUAUCAUUAUCAGAACCUCUGUUUACAGCUACAGUUUUAUACAUUUAUCUUCUCAGCUUUCUGCUAUUUGUCUGUAUUUUUUCUAUUAUGCAAAUAGUUCUAAAACAUUCUUGAUUA